AUUGAACGCUGGCGGCAGGCCUAACACAUGCAAGUCGAACGGUAACAGGACGCAGCUUGCUGCUUUGCUGACGAGUGGCGGACGGGUGAGUAAUGUCUGGGAAACUGCCUGAUGGAGGGGGAUAACUACUGGAAACGGUAGCUAAUACCGCAUAAUGUCGCAAGACCAAAGAGGGGGACCUUCGGGCCUCUUGCCAUCGGCUGUGCCCAGAUGGGAUUAGCUAGUAGGUGGGGUAAAGGCUCACCUAGGCGACGAUCCCUAGCUGGUCUGAGAGGAUGACCAGCCACACUGGAACUGAGACACGGUCCAGACUCCUACGGGAGCCAGCAGUGGGGAAUAUUGCACAAUGGGCGCAAGCCUGAUGCAGCCAUGCCGCGUGUAUGAAGAAGGCCUUCGGGUUGUAAAGUACUUUCAGCGGGGAGGAAGGGAGUAAAGUUAAUACCUUUGCUCAUUGACGUUACCCGCAGAAGAAGCACCGGCUAACUCCGUG
rnacentral:rRNA from 1 species